ACCAACUAGAUGUACCUCCAUACUUUUACGAAAAUACUUUUUUUUUUCUCACAAUUCUACCCCAAAUGUAUAUUCUCUAACAUUCUUCCAAUUAAUGCUCCACAGUAGUGUAAUCCUUUACAUGUGCUUGAUAUUCUCAACACGCUACAAAAUGGGUUCAUUUUGGAUAAGGAUGUGUCAAUUUGAGAUUCUCUCAUUCCCUCCCAAAACUGUGUGAUAAUCACUCCAUGAAGUCCCCCUGGGCAUAGUUGAGUAACCACCACAUGCCAUAGCUUUCUAGUGAAAUUCACUUGGGUAGGAACAAGUACCCAGUCAUCAUCCGAAGAAGGACUGAGACCGUUUGUGCUCUUGAUCAACUCAGAUACUCAGGAUAGAACCCACUAUAUUCCCAAUCUAGAAGGCCAGUAAUUCGGAAUUGGUGGUCGCCCCUUGGUUCUACAGUGAUAUUAUCUGGUCGUAGAUCACCAUGUGUAAAGACACAUCUAAUUUCUAAUUGCUGAGGCGGGACGUAGGGUUGUUGAAGCCGGCUGAUAAAUUCUGCGAAAAUAGAAGCGCGCAAAGAGGGGAACAGAAAAUCCUUGAAAUCUUUGACAAUCAUCAAAGCAAUAAAGAACGCGCUGGACUACACUGAAUAUACAACACUGC
rnacentral:sRNA from 1 species